AGUGCCCGCCCAUGGAACUGGAUGUGCCCCACCAUGCAACUGGAUGUUCCCCACCAUGGAACCGGAAGUGUUCCAUCAUGCAACUGGUAGUGCCCCACCAUGCAACUGGAAGUGCCCCACCAUGGAACCGGAAACUCCCCCAUUAUGCAAUCGGAAAGGCCCCACCAUGCAACUGGAAGUGAUACUCUGUCCAACAAUGCUCCAUCAGCCAUGCCCCAAGAAGAAAACACAGACCUGGCUUUGGCAUAGAGCGCUUUUGGAGUUGGCCAUGGGCGACGCCCUACUGAUGACACAAUGGGUGACACCUCACUGAUGACACAAUGACCUGAUUUCUGACUGGAUCAGAUGGAUGCGGUUUCACGGGGAACACUAUGGAAACGAAAAUUCAGGAUUUGUGCUUAUUGACAAGACAAUUCUUCGUUGACUUUAUGUAACAUUCUUAUGUUGAUUUGACAUUCUUAUAUUGUUGUUGCAAAUUUAUAUUGUUGAUGUGACAUUCUUAUAUUAAUGUGACAUCUUUAUAUUGAUGUGGCAUUCUUUUGUUGAUGUGACAUUCCUAUACUGAUGUGACAUUCUUAUAUUGAAAAUUAUAUGGAUGAUAAAAUCAUAUUUGUAUUUGUUGAAUGGAGCAUGUUGAGAAAUGUCCGUUAUCUCAUAUUUGGAGGGUUAGUCUAAGAAACAUUAAUUGUUUCGCGCAUUUUUACGAACACAGGUUUCCUCGUCCAUUUCAAAAACAAAAACGGGGUUUUGCCUGGGCGGCUAGUAACCCAGAGAAAAAUAUUCGAUGUUAUCACUUAACAAUGCAUGGCGUAAGUUUAUUUAGCCAUGUGUUUUUCUCUGAUAAAAUCGUGACAUGCUCAG